rnacentral:misc_RNA from 2 species
UCCAACCUCCCACCCGUGUCUAUCGUACCUUGUUGCUUCGGCGGGCCCGCCAUUCGUGGCCGCCGGGGGGCAUCUCGCCCCCGGGCCCGCGCCCGCCGGAGACACCAACACGAACACUGUCUGAAGGUUGCAGUCUGAGUCGAUUUAUUUAAUCGUUA